UACAGGGGGUGCAAGCGUUGCUCGGAAUUAUUGGGCGUAAAGCGCGCGUAGGCGGCUACCUAAGUCGGAUGUGAAAGCCCCUGGCUUAACCGGGGAAGUGCACCCGAAACUGGGUAGCUAGAGUGCAAAAGAGGGUCGCGGAAUUCCCAGUGUAGAGGUGAAAUUCGUAGAUAUUGGGAGGAACACCGGUGGCGAAGGCGGCGACCUGGGUUGACACUGACGCUGAGGCGCGAAAGCGUGGGGAGCAAACAGG
rnacentral:rRNA from 1 species